AUUGAACGCUGGCGGCAUGCUUUACACAUGCAAGUCGAACGGUAACAGGGAGCUUGCUCCGCUGACGAGUGGCGAACGGGUGAGUAAUGCGUCGGAACGUGCCGAGUAGUGGGGGAUAACGCAGCGAAAGUUGUGCUAAUACCGCAUACGUACUGAGGUAGAAAGUGGGGGACCUUCGGGCCUUACGCUAUUCGAGCGGCCGACGUCUGAUCAGCUAGUAGGUGAGGUAAAGGCUCACCUAGGCGACGAUCAGUAGCGGGUCUGAGAGGAUGAUCCGCCACACUGGGACUGAGACACGGCCCAGACUCCUACGGGAGGCAGCAGUGGGGAAUUUUGGACAAUGGGCGAAAGCCUGAUCCAGCCAUGCCGCGUGUCUGAAGAAGGCCUUCGGGUUGUAAAGGACUUUUGUCGGGGAGGAAAUCCCCAGCGCUAAUACCGCUGGGGGAUGACAGUACCUGAAGAAUAAGCACCGGCUAACUACGUGCCAGCCGCCGCCGUAAUAC
rnacentral:rRNA from 1 species